AGUAUUGCCUUUUGGUUUAAUAAUGGUUUUAUGGCCUUCUUUGUUGUCUGAUGCCCCUGUAAUUUUUCACAUGUUCUCAAAUUGAGUUAAGAACCAUCUCUAGAUAACAGCAUAUGUAAUGCAAUCUAUUAUGAGUUUUGUGUUCUUGAUAAAAGCUGCACUUAGUUAACAAUGGUUCUUUAUUCUAGAAUAGUUUGAUUUUGACAUGUUUAUUUAUGACAGCUAGUGUUACACAUCCAAAGUAUCUCAGCAGUAAAAAGGUGGGUAGCAGUUGUGGUAGACUCGGUCAGCAAAUAGGUGAAAUCAUUAUCCCAUUUUCAGCAAGCAGUUGAAGCCAUUAUCCUAUUUCCUAGUUUCAUGAUCUUGUUCCAUUAUCCUCAUUGCUUAAACGUAGGAAUUAGCUGUUGUAUUUUUAUGGUAUUUAAACUCUUCUUAAGCAGCAAUGAAGGAGGCAAUUAUUGAAUCCAAAAUCUUGUGGUUUAUUCUCAUCUGAAGAGAAUUUCUUUACUAAUUUCCUUUGGCUUCUGGGGACCUAUCAGCUAGCUAGCUUGGUUUUAUAUUUGCAGUUUCCUCAUUUAAAGCUAUAACUGUAAUAUGGUCUUCCUCCUUUCCCAUUUGUGUUAAAGAUUCAUAUUAACUAAUCUUUUAUUUUUUUCUUCCUUUGGUUUGCAAGGUAAAGUAUCAUCAUUCCUUUGCAUCAAGGUUGAUAAGCCUUACUACUCGAGUGCAGGUUAUGUUGAUGCUCUGCACUCAAAUGUCAUUCCUUUCCGAAUGGAGCCACUUGGACCUGCUGCCGAUUUUGGUGAUGUUUCAGGUGCUAUUGAUGUUUAAUGGUGUCGUACAACUGUUGGGAGAGCAAGCUAGGCAAACAAAGUGACUAUUCUGGACAUUACAAUCCCGGCUCCUUCUUUGACUGGGAAACAAGGAGUGAACUCCCUUCUUGGGAACUUGCAUCCUUUGACACCAGAAAUGGCUGAGAAUGUGGAAGACUCACAGGCACUGGAAUCGAUGACCAUUCAUGGAGCCCUUGCAUCAGGAGUCCAUCAAGCUUUAGUGUUGAAGUAAGGAACGCAAUUCAUGCUCCAUAUGAACAUGCAAUAAUAAGGCCGAUGAUUUGCCAGUUAUCUGUUGCCCGUCGUCGCCUUCCAAUAACCUUGCUGUUUCCUUUAAUUUUUGGGAAUUUUGUGGGCCAACAUGGUGAACUGUUGGACAGCCCAAUUGUAGGUUCUUGUCCAAGGAGCUCACUUGAUGUCAAUUCAAUCUCCAUUGCAGCAAACUGCGUUCUAGUAGUGCUAUCUUGCCAUUUUUGCAGCAUAGGUUAGGGAAUCUUUGUUGAUUUGGUAUAGAAAGAGGAGCCCCUGGGGCUGAGUUGCUUAGGAGUUGGGGAUUUGGAAAUGACAACGUAGAGGACAUGAGAGAGGCAGCGUCUAAAAUGGUUGCAGCGUUGGAUCCUUACUCUCAAGUGUCCUCAGAUUCAGAUUAGGAUUAUGGAAGUAUGAUGGAGGUGGACAUUUAUGAACAUGACGAAAAGAUGACGAGUAUGGCAGAUGAGGCGGUGGAGAGACAUUCUACAAGUUUAACUGAUAAGCUGAUGCAUCUUUUCUAGAACAUAAUUUCUCAUCUUGGUGUUUGUUGGUUUACUAUGCUUUGUGUAAAGGGAAAAAGUGAACCUUUCCAAGUUUCAAAUGAACUCCAAAGAAGGAGAUUGCACUUCACUUU